rnacentral:rRNA from 1 species
UACGUAGGGCGCAAGCGUUGUCCGGAAUUAUUGGGCGUAAAGAGCUCGUAGGCGGUUUGUCGCGUCUGCUGUGAAAACCUAAGGCUCAACCUUGGGCUUGCAGUGGGUACGGGCAGACUAGAGUGCGGUAGGGGUGACUGGAAUUCCUGGUGUAGCGGUGAAAUGCGUAGAUAUCGAGAGGAACACCUGCGGCGAAGGCGGGUUGCUGGGCUGAUACUGACGCUGAGGCGCGAAAGCCAGGGGAGCGAACGGG